AACGCGAAGAACCUUACCUGGGCUCGAACGGCUCACGAAAGUCUUUGGAAACAGAGAUUUCCCGCAAGGGACGGGAGUCGAGGUGCUGCAUGGCUGUCGUCAGCUCGUGUCGUGAGAUGUUGGGUUAAGUCCCGCAACGAGCGCAACCCUUGUCCUGUGUUGCCAUGCCGAAAGGCGGAACUCGCAGGAGACCGCCAGCGAUAAGCUGGAGGAAGGUGGGGAUGACGUCAAGUCCUCAUGGCCCUUACGGGCUGGGCUACACACGUGCUACAAUGGCGGUGACAGUGGGACGCAAUGGGGCAACCCUGCGCAAAUCUCAAAAAGCCGUCUCAGUUCGGAUUGUGCUCUGCAACUCGAGCACAUGAAGUCGGAAUCGCUAGUAAUCGCAGAUCAGCACGCUGCGGUGAAUACGUUCCCGGGCCUUGUACACACCGAGUAUA
rnacentral:rRNA from 1 species